GAACCCCGGCGAGGGGAGUGAAAAAGAACCUGAAACCGUGUACGUACAAGCAGUGGGAGCCCCACCACCAAAGCAUUCUCUGGUGUUGAAGGCCCUGCAAAGCAGCAUCGCGGUGGCGGAGCGUCGUUUGCGACGCCCAACACACAAAACAAGCGGUGAAUGCUUUGGGGUGGGGUGACUGCGUACCUUUUGUAUAAUGGGUCAGCGACUUAUAUUCUGUAGCAAGGUUAACCG
rnacentral:rRNA from 1 species